rnacentral:rRNA from 1 species
UACGUAGGGUGCGAGCGUUGUCCGGAAUUAUUGGGCGUAAAGAGCUCGUAGGCGGUGUGUCGCGUCGGCCGUGAAGACCUGGGGCUCAACUCUGGGCGUGCGGUCGAUACGGGCAUCACUUGAGUUCGGCAGGGGAGACUGGAAUUCCUGGUGUAGCGGUGAAAUGCGCAGAUAUCAGGAGGAACACCGGUGGCGAAGGCGGGUCUCUGGGCCGAUACUGACGCUGAGGAGCGAAAGCAUGGGUAGCGAACAGG